rnacentral:rRNA from 1 species
AGUGAACGCUGGCGGUAGGCCUAACACAUGCAAGUCGAACGGCAGCACAGGAGAGCUUGCUCUCUGGGUGGCGAGUGGCGGACGGGUGAGGAAUACAUCGGAAUCUACUUUUUCGUGGGGGAUAACGUAGGGAAACUUACGCUAAUACCGCAUACGACCUACGGGUGAAAGCAGGGGAUCUUCGGACCUUGCGCGAUUGAAUGAGCCGAUGUCGGAUUAGCUAGUUGGCGGGGUAAAGGCCCACCAAGGCGACGAUCCGUAGCUGGUCUGAGAGGAUGAGCGGCCACACUGGAACUGAGCCACGGUCCAGACUCCUACGGGAGGCAGCAGUGGGGAAUAUUGGACAAUGGGCGCAAGCCUGAUCCAGCCAUACCGCGUGGGUGAAGAAGGCCUUCGGGUUGUAAAGCCCUUUUGUUGGGAAAGAAAUCCAUCUGGUUAAUACCCGGGUGGGAUGACGGUACCCAAAGAAUAAGCACCGGCUAACUUCGUGCCAGCCGCCGCCGUAA